rnacentral:snRNA from 1 species
AUACUUACCUGGCAGGGAAGACACCAUGAUCAGGCAGGUGGUUUUCCCAGGGCGAGGCUCAUCCCCUACACUCCGGGUGUGCUGACCCCUGUGAUUUCCCCAAAUGUGGGAAACUCGACUGCAUAAUUUGUGGUAGUGCGGUUUAAUUUUAUAUUUUUUUUGCU